rnacentral:rRNA from 1 species
GUGAGGAAUAUUGCGCAAUGGAGGCAACUCUGACGCAGCCAUGCCGCGUGCAGGAAGAAGGCGCUACGCGUUGUAAACUGCUUUUAACCGGGAAGAAACCCCAGGACGUGUCCUGGGUUGACGGUACCGGAGGAAUAAGCACCGGCUAACUUCGUGCCAGCAGCCGCGGUAAUACGAAGGGUGCAAGCGUUAUCCGGAUUCAUUGGGUUUAAAGGGUGCGUAGGCGGAGCGUUAAGUCAGUGGUGAAAUCCUGCAGCUUAACUGUAGACUUGCCAUUGAUAUUGGCGCUCUUGAGUGCGCUUGAAGUGGGCGGAAUGUGCCGUGUAGCGGUGAAAUGCUUAGAUAUGGCACAGAACACCAAUUGCGAAGGCAGCUCACUAAGGCGAUACUGACGCUGAGGCACGAAAGCGUGGGGAUCGAACAGGAUUAGAUACCCUUGUAGUCC